UGUACUUGAAAGUACAAUGCUUUGCAGCCAGAAGCACAGCCUUUGAAGCGCACCUAUGAAAUACACAGUAAUGAAAACACAGUUCUACUAAGUGUACUGUGCUUGCUGGUUACUAAAAAAAACAACACUUACCUUUCACUAUUUGAGUAACUUUUGUUCUGCCAUUUGCGUACUGGCGAGCGAUCUCCGAAUCUAGGAACAUAUCCUUCACAGAUUUGUUGUAGACAUCCGCAAAGGAGAACGGGAUGUUGCUUCCUGCUAUCAGCAUCGCCAUCUUUGUCUCAGCAUAAGUUGCACCAUCGGGUCUCCAUUUUGCGAGGUUGCUCAUAAUACUGGAUUGUGAACGAUGCUGCGCUGCAGACGCUUUGUUCUUCGCUGACCGUUCAUGACUGAGUAUAUCCGUUUGGCCACCGUGUUCAAUGGAGAAGUCUGUUCUACAAAAUUUACAGGCAACAUUCACCUUCGGACUUUCCUGGAUGAACUGAAAUUCUUGUUUCCAAUCGUUUUGGAACUUGCAAACGUAUUUCUUUAUUUUGCUCGUUGACUGCGUCGCCAUGGCUGUAACUUCCUCGUUCUUCUGAUUCGUCUCCUUGUGUGUGCAGUUUUUUAUUAAAAUCCGUAGAUGUUGUAACGUGAUUGGGCAGGCAAGCUGUUUAUAUAGUGGAAAAGCGGACGUGAAAACAGGUUGUCCCCACUCAGGUCCGCAUGGAGCUGGAGGGGGCGUGGCCUCCAGCUCCGGCUGAAUUUCAGGAGAUUUUCGGGAGAAAAUUUCUUCCGGUAGGUUUUCGGCAGAGGCGCUGAAUUUCGGGAGUCUCCCGGAAAAUCCGGGAGGCUUGGCAAGUAUGUCUAUCAGAGUUAUUAUGACAACAGCUGGAGUAAAACGCCCCCCAGUGUUGGUGUUGAUUUCCAUCGUUGAACGAGACAGUCUGAUUAGCCCCAACCUCCAGCCCCUCCUCGUGUCCACACCCUGAAAAUUUUUAUGGAAGCCUUUUUCUGAAUGUUUAGGGACUGUGGUAAGUCACUUCUCCUCUCUUACUAAAUCAAUUAUUUGUAAUUUGUAGCAUCAUGUCAGAAUUUACUUUAUAUUGUUGCUCAAUAUGUAAUGAAGUUAUUUGUGUACGGUUUUGUAUCUAAAAAAUAUGGUAUUCUAAAAGGGCUAAUGUCACCGAGUGAAUGCUAGCUUAAAUGUUAGCCACCUCAGACUUCGUUUUUGCGAGGGAUGUGGGACAAUUUUAAACAUUAUGUGGAAUAAAAUAUUUAAUAUGUAAAUUGUACAUAAUUAUGCUGUGGAGAUGUGGCGAAAAAAUUAGUGAGUAACCCUGGUCGAGGCACUAUUGAGCGUAGGUGGCCAGAGCACAAAAUCAUGAGGUGUGUGUGUAAGUAUUUUUGCUUCUACAUUGUUAAUGGAUAGGUUACUAAACACUCACCUGUUAGCUUAUGUGUUUUUUGAAUUGAGAGUGCAAUUUCACAUUUGUUGGCCCUUUUUUUGGUAGCCCCAUUUGAAAUUAUAUAUAGGAGUAUCAAGUCAUUAGGUUUUUCUAAUGAACAUUUUUCUAAUAUUUGUGUAUACAGUAUUUGUUUUGACUGGGCCUUUCAACUUUGGUUGUAUUUUUCGCUUCAAAAUAACUGAUUUGAAACUCAUUUAAAAAAUAUAUCAAAUGACCUGUCAGUUUCGGCUUUUUUUUCCUGUUUCCUAGCAUUUGCCAAAGGGACUGAGAUUGAUGUUUUUGAGGAAAUUGUGAAGUAUCCAUCCACUGAGAAUCAGUCUCCAAGGUACCUCUCCAAAGUCACAAUCAUCCAUUUGUUCAUCGGACUCAGACAAAAUCAUCCUUGAAGACACUCCUACCAGAAAGCGUCAGAGGCUGGACUCUGAAGCUAUGCAAGUGGUGAAAUCCAUUCUUACCAAGAAAUCGGGUGGAGAAUAUAUAAUAAAUGAAUACAACCGAACUAAGUCCUUGACAGAACAGAGCAGAAGAAAAUUGGUGAAUAUACUGACAGCUGAGAUGACGUAGAAGAAUGGGUAUUGGUUUUGAUUGGCAUGUGUUCUUAUUUAGGUUUCAGAGUAAUUUUAAAUCUAAAGUAAAUAAUAAACAUUUCACUACAUCUUAUAAAACGUGUGUUUGACGAAUAAGCUUGAAUGUUAUUUUUAUUUUUUUAAGUACAUCUCCGUCAAGACAGGUGAAGGAAAUGUAUGCACAAGGAAUUGUGAACUUUUUCCCCAACCUCAGAAACCCAUUUUCCAAGAACAGCUAUGUGAGUUACACACUCUUAAUUUUUGUUAUAGUCUUUAUUUUGAGUCGUCCCAAAGUAUGUUGCGACUAAUAGUGGCUAUUUUUGCAAUUCACUCAAAGGAACAUUUUUAUGAUAGCAACAGUGGUACUGGGUACUUGGCCUGUAGAAUUAAAACUAUUCAGAGAUGCAGUGCUAAAGAAAGGUGAUCAUCAUUUGGAAGUAAUCCUAUAUUAUUCUUGACAAAUAUAUUGGAUAGAAUAGUCAUAUGAGCACUUAUUGGUUUUGUUGCAUUUGUUGCAAUGCUUUUCAGCCAAUAGCCAAACAUUUUUUCAUAAAAGUUGGGUCACAUCCAGCUGACAAAGUGUUUUGAACUGUAUGUGAUUGUCAUGAGUCGUAUGUCCCCAUAUCGUUUAGCUUUGGCGGAAGGACCUUCUGAUAAAGACAAGUCGGGAGGACCAACUGUUGGAUGAGUUACCCAAUUCAUUCCAGAGAUUGUCCUGUCUGAAGAUGAGUGCAAGGAAGCGAUGUCACUGAUGAAACAUUCGGCUGAUGUGGACAUGGUCAUCAAAAAGAUGAAGUUGACAUUUGCCCAUCGGCAUAACAUGGUCCUGAAACAACAGCAGUCAAGCAACAUUCUAUCUUACUUUCCUCAUUUUAAAGACAUCAAAGGCUUGGUUGAAGAGGAUUUUGUUCUAAUGUUUGGAGAGGAUUAAUCUGGCAAGUUUCUGGAGAAGUGGCCAACCACAUUCAAAAAGAAGAUCAUCCAACAAUGCAGAAAGCUUCCCUCCAUCUUUGAGCUUGAGGAACUUCUGAUGCAAGCUGAACCUCCUGAGGAUGGGGCUGAAGUGAACGUUGACUUUGGUUGGGACAGUGACCUCUCAUCGUUUUUUGUGCUCUUACACUUGAUCCCACCGACUGCUCUAGGUCGGAAGAGGCCAGGAAAAGUUUCUGCAUCCCGGGCUGAGAAGCAUCUUGUGGUCUUCAAGAAGCAUCCAAGAACAUCUUGACACCAUUACUACCAGCACUUAACCCUAUCUCCUGGUUGAGGAAGAAUACAAUCCACCAGUUCUUCAUAAUUCUCGACAAGAAUGUCACACUUUGCAGGUCACACUCCUCUCUUUGUGCAUUUGAUGAACCUUUUAAAGCACACUUUGUGUUUGCGACAUCAUACCACACCAUACCCCACAACAUGUACACAUCCCUGCCUUACUCCAAACAAUUUGAUGUUCACAUGGCGUAUGGAAGAUUAUGUUCCACAUUGUAUGUUGUCCCAUAUUGCCAGGUCACCCUUUCUGUAUUCUGUCCCUAAAGUUGAUUGUCCUGCCUGACAAAAAAAU